GUGGGAUAGCUCAGUGGUAGAGCAUAUGCUUAGCACGCACGAGAUCCUGGGUUCAAUCCCCAGUGCCUACA
rnacentral:tRNA from 1 species